AAGAGAGUAGCUCAGCUGGAAGAGCGUUAGGUCUGCAACCUAAAGGUCGUGGGUUCAAAUCCCGCCUCUCUUU
rnacentral:tRNA from 1 species